rnacentral:rRNA from 1 species
GAUGAACGCUGACGGAAUGCUUAACACAUGCAAGUCGACUGUGGCGGACGGGUGAGUAACGCGUACAGAACUUGCCUCACAGUUAGGGACAACAUUUGGAAACGAAUGCUAAUACCUGAUACUGUGAGAGAGCUUUGCGUCCCAUUAGCUAGUUGGAGAGGUAACGGCUCACCAAGGCGAUGAUGGGUAGCCGGCCUGAGAGGGUGAUCGGCCACAAGGGGACUGAGACACCAGCCUUACUGCAACGGGCGGCAGCAGUGGGGACUAGUGGACAAUAGACCGCAGACUGAUCAAGCAAUUCUGUGUGUAAGAUGAUGUUUUCGGAAUGAAAAGUGCUUUCAGUUGCGAAGCGGUACCAAAAGAAGAAGUGACGGCUAAAUACGUGCCAGCAGCCGCGGUAAUAC